CACCACAUUAAGCACAAAGGAGCUAGAUUCCAAAUGCUAGACGAGUGUUUUCCAGGCCAAUUCCACCAACCAAAGAGGGUAUUCGCAACUGUUCUUGGCAAGCCCCAAGAAAACCCAAAAGAUCUAAACACCAGACUCCACAACCUAUGAGCCUUACCACAAUGAAGUAGCAAAUGAUCCACCGUCUCCCCAUUACAACGGCACAUGAUGCACCAGUCAACAAAUGAUCUCUUUUUUCCUAUACGCUUCUCUCUUUCCCUCUCUCCUUUUCAAACACAACUUCACCGUUUCACUCUACAAUAUACUAACGCAUUAGUUGCUACCCUUAGCCGCUCUCUCUCCAUGGACCAAACCUAACUCGAAGUCGGUGAUUACGCCUCAAACCUCUCUCGCAACCAUGACCUCUUCUUCAUCAAGUGCAGUACAAUCUUCAAUCUCUGAAGUGGGAGCACUUUGUUUAAUUAUAGCACGCAUUUCUUCAAUUUCAAUGAGCAACAAUGGGUCAAAUACUAUUUUGUCUGCCCGUAAUAACCUGACACAAGAACAACUGAACGGAGAACUCACCCACCAUCAUCGGCGAUCGUCAGACCCCCCCCAAUGUCUUCAGAACUUGUACAAAUGAAAUUGGAUGAGCUUGUGGAAGAUGUUAUGAACUUGUACAUCAACAAAGAAUCUAUGGAUGAUAAUCGUGGUCAUAGUCAGGAUUAGUCUACUAUUUGCUCAAAUUCUUUCAAUAUUGAUACUUAGCAUUUGGCGAGUUCCAAGGAUAUUAUAUUUUUGUUGAACUAUGUUAUUUUAUUUUUGUUAAACUAUGUUAUUUUGAAUUUGGGUUGAAGUGCUGCACUUCUUUUGGAGUGUAAA